rnacentral:rRNA from 1 species
GAGCGGNNGAGAGGUGCUUGNNNUCUUGAGAGCGGCGGACGGGUGAGUAAUGCCUAGGAAUCUGCCUGGUAGUGGGGGAUAACGCUCGGAAACGGACGCUAAUACCGCAUACGUCCUACGGGAGAAAGCAGGGGACCUUCGGGCCUUGCGCUAUCAGAUGAGCCUAGGUCGGAUUAGCUAGUUGGUGGGGUAAUGGCUCACCAAGGCGACGAUCCGUAACUGGUCUGAGAGGAUGAUCAGUCACACUGGAACUGAGACACGGUCCAGACUCCUACGGGAGGCAGCAGUGGGGAAUAUUGGACAAUGGGCGANACGNGAUCCAGCCAUGCCGCGUGUGUGAAGAAGGUCUUCGGAUUGUAAAGCACUUUAAGUUGGGAGGAAGGGCAUUAACCUAAUACGUUAGUGUUUUGACGUUACCGACAGAAUAAGCACCGGCUAACUCUGUGCCAGCAGCCGCGGUAAUACAGAGGGUGCAAGCGUUAAUCGGAAUUACUGGGCGUAAANNGCGCGUANNCAACCUGGGAACUGCAUUCAAAACNG